AAGGGCUGUUGAUAGUCACAAAGAUGUGAAAGAAGGAGAGGAAUACGGAAAUGGUAGAAAAGUCAAUGAAGGACUGAGCCAAAUGAAAGAAACUGAGAAAGAAAAAUCAAACAUUUCUCAGAACUACAUGAGAAGAGACGAUUUCACAGACAUACCUGAGAAGAUUUUAAAGAUUUAUCUUCCGGACUGUGAAAUCAUAGCAAGAAAGCUGUGGAGGAUCAAAGAAUACGCAGAAGAAUUGGACACAAUUCAG